rnacentral:rRNA from 1 species
AUACGGAGGGUGCAAGCGUUAUCCGGAAUCAUUGGGUUUAAAGGGUCCGUAGGCGGGCAAUUAGGUCAGAGGUGAAAUCCCACAGCUCAACUGUGGAACUGCCUUUGAUACUGGUUGUCUUGAGUUAUAGUGGAGUAGAUAGAAUGUGUAGUGUAGCGGUGAAAUGCAUAGAUAUUACACAGAAUACCGAUUGCGAAGGCAGUCUACUAACUGUUGACUGACGCUAAUGGACGAAAGCGUGGGGAGCGAACAGGAUUAGAAACCCCAGUAGUCC